rnacentral:rRNA from 1 species
AUGGCUGUGAGAGAACCACCAAAGAAGAGGAGGAAGACUACUAAAACAUCCGAGUCAUCCAUUGUGCCAAGAGGUGAUGACGCGCCGACAGCCGCUAUGUAUUUUCCACCAAGCCAAAACUUGGAAACUACAACCAAGAGGAAGGGAAAGCAUAACCAAACAUUGGAGACUACAAACAAGAAAAAUGCAAAAGGGGGGAAAAGGGCCACAAGGAAGAUGGAGCUUGCUAAAAAGGAUCAAAACAAUCUGAUGGUUCCAUUUGACAGCCCUGCAAUGGGCACUAGAAGCAAAAGAGCUUACCCAACUAGCCCUGCAAUGGGCACAAGAAGCAAAAGGCGGCUCAGCUUGUGA